rnacentral:rRNA from 1 species
GCAAGAUUAAAACUCAAAGGAAUAGACGGGGACCCGCACAAGCGGUGGAGCAUGUGGUUUAAUUCGACGAUACGCGAAGACCCUUACCUGGCCUUGACAUAGAAAGAACUUUCCAGAGACGGAUUGGUGCUAGUUUACUAGAGCUUUCAUACAGGUGCUGCACGGCUGUCGUCAGCUCGUGUCGUGAGAUGUUGGGUUAAGUCCCGCAACGAGCGCAACCCUCGUGUUUAGUUACUAACAGUUCGGCUGAGGACUCUAGACAGACUGCCUGGGUAACCAGGAGGAAGGUGAGGACGACGUCAAGUCAUCAUGGCCCUUACGGCCAGGGCUACACACGUGCUACAAUGGGGUAUACAAAGAGCCGCAAUACCGCGAGGUGGAGCAAAUCUCAUAAAAUAUCUCCCAGUUCGGAUAGCAGUCUGCAACUCGACUGCUUGAAGUUGGAAUCGCUAGUAAUCGUGAAUCAGCAACGUCACGGUGAAUACGUUCCCGGGUCUUGUACUCACCGCCCGUCACACCAUGGGAAUUGAAUUCAUUCGAAGCGGGGAUGCUAAAAUAGCUACCUUCCACAGUGGAUUUAGUAACUAGGGUGAAGUCGUAACAAGGUA